rnacentral:rRNA from 1 species
UACGAAGGGGGCUAGCGUUGUUCGGAAUUACUGGGCGUAAAGCGCACGUAGGCGGACUAUUAAGUCAGGGGUGAAAUCCCGGAGCUCAACUCCGGAACUGCCCUUGAAACUGCAGUGCUAGAAUCCUGGAGAGGCGAGUGGAAUUCCGAGUGUAGAGGUGAAAUUCGUAGAUAUUCGGAAGAACACCAGUGGCGAAGGCGACUCGCUGGACAGGUAUUGACGCUGAGGUGCGAAAGCGUGGGGAGCAAACAGG